rnacentral:misc_RNA from 1 species
GACUUCAACGCAGACCGCGCCCAUAGAGAACACCUCCCCCCCCUCCCCCCAGCUCCCACGCCAUACUCCUCCCUUGCUGCUGGCACUACAGACACACAGGCUACCGCCAACCAUAUAUACCAUCUCAGCAACACUGUUGCCACCCAAGCAGUAACCACUACUGGCAGUGGCUGGGAGUGGGAACGCCGCUGUCGCCCCGCCUCUCAUAUCCUUUUCCAGUUAGUGGCCUUGGUGCACUUCAUUCCGCAGAACACCGAAGUCGGCUACCUGAACACUGCAUUUCUGCUUUCUCUCCAUUUUUGCACACACACGCACAACCCUUCAUCACCGUUCUCCCGUACUCGAGCUGAGAUGGCGGCUCGCCGUGUGGUGCGCCUGCCCGAUGGCACGGCGGCUCCAGCGCUAGGACAGGGCGUGUGGAUGAUGGGUGAAAAACCCGAAAACCGCACACGCGAGCUAGCGGCGCUGCGAGCCGGUAUGGAAGCGGGCAUGACGCUCAUCGAUACCGCAGAGAUGUACGGCAACGGCCGCUCCGAGCGACUUGUGGCAGAAGCCAUCAAAGAGACGCCACGUGAGCGGCUCUUCAUUGUCUCGAAGGUGCUGCCAACAAACGCAUCGCGGGCGACCAUUUUUCGCAGCUGUGAUGCCUCCCUCCAGAACAUCGGCACAGACUACUUGGACCUGUACCUUCUGCACUGGCGCGGCCGUGUUCCGCUGCCCGAGACCGUGACGUGCAUGGAGGAACUCGUCAAGAGCGGCAAGAUUCGCCGCUGGGGUGUGUCGAACUUCGACGUGGACGACAUGAAGGAGCUGUGGCGCGUCCCCGGUGGCGACAAGUGCGCGGUCAAUCAGGUGCUUUACCACCUUGGCUCCCGCGGCAUCGAGUACGAUCUCCUUCCCUGGCUCAGGGAGCACAACGUGCCAGUGAUGGCCUACUGCCCCAUCGCUCAGGCUGGCGAGCUCAAGUCGGAGCUGUACAAGAGCACUGUUGUGCAGAGCGUUGCGGCUCGCCACAACGCCACCGUCACACAAGUUCUACUUGCCUUUGUGCUGCGCAGCGGCCACGUCAUCGCAAUCCCACGCUCCAGCAACCCGGCGCACACAAAGGAGAACGCGGCGGCAGACAGCAUUGAGCUGACAGAGGUGGACAUGGCACAGCUGGACGCGGCGUUUCCUGCCCCCAAGCACAAGACGCACCUCGAUAUUGUAUGAGUAGAGUGCAGCGUGUAGUGCCGUCGUGUGAGACUACAACCCCAUUAUCUCUGCGUGUGCACACGUGCCUCGGCCUCUUGUUUUCCUCAGCAGCGAAGAGUCGGCGAUCCUUCUCUGCUCUGCAUAUGUUCCGUUGCGUCUCCGUUGGUUUGAGUUGUGCACGUCGAUACAGAGUGGCACGUUGCCUGCGUCGGUGGGCCAUGCGCAUAGCGCGUCGGGGAUGCGUGCAUUCCUGUGUCGUUGCACCG